rnacentral:lncRNA from 1 species
GCCCGGCCAAUAAUUUUUUUUUUUUUUAAAGAGAAAUACACAUAUGUAGAAAAAGACCAGAAGGAAAUGUUGGCAGCGCUCGACUCUUGGUGGUGAAAUUACAGAUCUUUAUUUAAUUUUUCUUCUUUGUGCUUUUGUGUAUCUCCUACAUUUUCCACAAUGCACAUAGCACUUUUACAAUCAGGGAGUAACAACAAAAAAUGCAAUGUAAAUCCUGAGAGGAGCUAUCACCUGCAUUUGGGCUCUUCCGGGGAUGGUCCAGGGGAAGUGGAUUUUAGCACAGCCUGGAAGGUUGGGAGAAUGUGAACUAGGGAGAGGAGCCAGGUAAAGCCUUUUUUGUUCCUUGGUUUUUGUCUGUCUCCUCUAGACUACGGGUUCCUUGAGGGCAGGAUCUGUGGUCUGGCUUGUUCACUGCUGUAUCCCUAGCAUCUUACAAAACAAAAGCCUGGUGCUUAGUAGGUGAUCAAUAAAUACAAAUCUAGUUAAUGAAUACAUGACCUUGACAGCUCUGCUUAGCCUAGGAGACAAGGAUAUUCUCAGUUCGCUGUCCAGCUGGUCUGCUGCCAAAACUGAGGUGCAUGGUUUCCAUGGCAACAGAAGAGGGCCCGACAGGCCAGCAGCAGGAGGCAGAUGCAGGGAUUGUGAGCUCUGCAUGUUUUCAAGGUGUGGCCUAGAAAUCCGGAACAUGGCGGUGGGUUCUUUCAAUAGAUGUUGAGAGAAAAAAAGCUUCAUAAAUACGGCUAACUCAGUUGUUCACCAGGCAGGUUUCUAAGUCAAUUAAUGAAAACUCGGGCAAGUAGUCGAGGUCUUUAAAGGUGACAUGGGAGGCUCUUAGUGUUUGAAAGUCUAGGAACUCAGGAAAGUUUGGUUUUAGUCUGGAUCCUGACUAAGGGUGUGACCCUGGGCAAGUUACUUAACCUCUCUGGGCCUCAGCAUGCUCAUUCAUAAAAUGAGAGGUUUGACCAGCACUAAAAUUAUUUAUAAAAACAUGUGUGGUAGGAAUGCAAAAUGGUACAGUCACUGUGGAAGAGUUUGGUGGUUCCUCAGUAAGUUAUACAUAGAACCAUCAUAUGACCCAGCAAUUCCACUCCUAGGUAUACACCCAAGAGAACUGAAGAUAGGCACUCAAAUACAUACUUGUGCACAAAUGUUCAUAGUUGCACUAUCCAUAAUAACCAAAAGGCCACCAAUGGAUGAAUGGAUAAAGGUAGUAUAUCCAUACAAUGGUGUAUCAUUCAGCCAGUCAUAAAAAGGAACAAAGUAUUUAUACAUGCUACAACAUGAAUGAACCUUGAAAACAUUACGUUAAGUGAAACAAGCCAGACUCAAAAGGUCACAUACAGUAUUGUAUAAUUCCAACUAAAUAAAAUAUCCAGUCUGGGCUUAGAACACAGAUCUCCUGGCU